UACAGAGGUCUCAAGCGUUGUUCGGAUUCAUUGGGCGUAAAGGGUGUGUAGGUGGCGCCGUAAGUCGGGUGUGAAAUCUUGGAGCUUAACUCCGAAACUGCAUUCGAUACUGCCGUGCUUGAGGACUGGAGAGGAGACUGGAAUUUACGGUGUAGCGGUGAAAUGCGUAGAUAUCGUAAGGAAGACCAGUGGCGAAGGCGGGUCUCCUGGACAGUUCCUGACGCUGAGGCACGGAAGGCCCAGGGGGAGCAAAACGGG
rnacentral:rRNA from 1 species